ACACACAACAUUCUGGUCCACACUCAUACCAGAUGGUGGCGGUAAUGCACCAAAAAGUUGUUUGCCAACCGCCAAUAAACCUUAAUAGAAGAAGAAGACAUCAAGAAGAGCGAGGCAGACGGACUGCACGCUGUUAAAACUUCACCGAGAUCGGUGUUGGACCGGCGAACACUUUAGGCCUAUUAUCAGAGGACUUGCUAACAUGAAGAAAACGGUCCAGAGGUUCCACCUGAGAGCCGGGACUGUCGAAUAGUAAGAGACAACGAAAAGGGGGGAACUGUCUUUAAGCUGUGGAGUCAGAUGGAGGGCUCGCAUUUACCUCAAAAACAGCAUUGCAGAAGACUCGAACAACUAGAACCAACUCAAGCACACAAUGGUGACACACAUUUGUAAGACCUUUCCCUGUGAUAUCAAAUUUCCCUUUGGUAAUUAUUCAGAUUCUUCUCAUUCUCAUUGUGUAGCACUGUUUUAAGCUUAGUGAAUAUUAUGUACAGUAAGCACUAGAAGUAGAGACUUGUACUACUUGGGGUAGUUUUAAAUUAACUUUAAUUUUGCUUUUGAUGCAAAAAUUAUCAAAAGAAAAGAUGUAGUGUAGUAAAAGAUGUUUUGUGUAGUAAUUCAAUUGUUUUAAUAUGAAUAUUGUUUUAGUAGUGUUCAGGACAGUAAUUGUCUGUACAUCUAAAUCAGUUCUUUAAACUUUUUGUUGUCUAAGACCUUGAUAUUAUACCUUAAGGGAAAAAGAAAGAUAUUUAAUUAUGUAUUAUGUACCCAGACAGCAAGGAGUGUCGGCCCAGAUCCAGCCCACA